rnacentral:rRNA from 1 species
AGAACGAACGCUGGCGGCGCGUUUAAGCAUGCAAGUCGAGCGGCAAGGGCCUUCGGGCCCCUAGAGCGGCGGACGGGUGAGUAACACGUGGACAAUCUGCCCCCCGGCCCGGGAUAGCCCAGGGAAACCUGGAUUAAUACCGGAUGAGACGGGACCCGCGAUGGCGGGACCCGGGAAAGGCGCUGCGGCGCCGCCGGGGGAUGAGUCUGCGUCCCAUUAGCUAGACGGCGGGGUAACGGCCCACCGUGGCGACGAUGGGUAGCCGGCCUGAGAGGGUGGACGGCCACAUUGGAACUGAGACACGGUCCAGACUCCUACGGGAGGCAGCAGCUAAGAAUCUUCCGCAAUGGGCGAAAGCCUGACGGAGCCGACGCCGCGUGAACGAAGAAGGCCGUGAGGUUGUAAAGUUCUUUUCGGGAGGGGGAACAACCGUGGCAGGGAAUGGCCGCGGAAUGACGUGAAUCCCGGAAUAAGCCCCGGCUAACUACGUGCCAGCCGCCGC